rnacentral:rRNA from 1 species
UACGAAGGGGCUAGCGUUGCUCGGAAUCGACUGGGCGUAAAGCGCACGUAGGCGGAUUGCUAAGUCAGGGGUGAAAUCCUGGAGCUCAACUCCAGAACUGCCUUUGAUACUGGCGACCUUGAGUCCGGGAGAGGUGAGUGGAACUGCGAGUGUAGAGGUGAAAUUCGAUAGAUAUUCGCAAGAACGACCAGUGGCGGAAGGCGGCUCACUGGCC